GUAAAUAGCUCUGGUGGUAGAGCGCCCGCUUCGAGAGCGGGAGGUACAGGGUUCAAUCCCCGGCGUUGAUG